UUGAGUCUCACAGCAAACAAUCUGUCAAGAUCAAAACAAGAGAGAGGAACUAUGAGGCAGAUCUUUUCGGAUUGAGCCCACAUAUAAAAAAGAAAACAUGUCAGAAUGAGGACAGCAGGAACAUAUAAGAUCAUGAAAUGAAGCUUCAGUUGCAUGUCAGAAUGACGUCACUGGAAGAUCUGCAUUCUUGACGUGUUGACAGUGAUGAUAAAAUGUAUUGAGACACAAUGACAGCAGGAAUGUGUGAAGCUUCAGAAAAUGUUAAAUAUGUGACUAUAAGAACUGUGGCAAGAUGCAUGGAGAAAUGAACAGAAUAUAUUAUGAAACGUUUUAGAGACUUGUGAAAAAGUGCUGUAAAGUGAAAUUCAAUGCAACAGAUUUAUUUAUUUUACAAUUAAUCACUGUUUACUAAAUCAAAUUAAUACUGAUUACCCUUUUUUUAAAACUGUUCUUAUUUUGUGAAAAUACUCACAUGCACAGGACUGUAUAUUUACAUAAACUGAAUAAGACAGAAAACUGAAUAAAUAUGACUGUAACAAUUAAAUUUGUCUUCAUUGUUCACUGGUAUAUCAUUAAGUGUUACUGAAAUGUCUUGGUAAAGUGUUUAGUGCCGUAAAUGUCCCUUCAGUCUUAUGAUUAUUCUAUCCUGUAUUUUUUUUUCUUUUUUUUUUCCAUUCAUGAGAGGUGUUUAAUGAAACAAACAAACAAAACAAAUACAAAAGAACCAGGAAUAAAGGUGCACAUA